rnacentral:lncRNA from 1 species
AAAAUCAUCCAAGAUGGAAAGAUAACUUUUUACUUAAGAAGAGAAGCCAUGACAUUGCUCAAAGGCAACAAUAUUUCUAAACAAAAGCUCACUGCCGUUGUGAAUCAGUAAUUUUGGAAUUUCUAGAACUUCGUCCACGAAUCGUAUGGCAGAUAAGCUUAUGCUUGAUCCCCACACAAUUUUCACUCCAACCAUCUAUAGUUCGGUGAUGCUCGAUGCACUUACAACUUUC